GCCACCCCGGAGGGUACAACCUAUCCGACUCUUGGGUAAAUGGAUUUUCAAUCGUGCUGACCCUGUUUUAGUAAACCCUCAAUUAACAGGCACUCUGGACUUUAAUGAACUUCUACUUCUCGAUGCCCGCUUCAAAGGACGCUAUCAAUUCUUACUGCCGACUCGCUGGAAAACUGGAAUUGUUUAACGCUUCACAGUAUCUAUUCUUUCGUACAGUUUGUACUGAAGCAUCGUGAAGGGAAAACGAUUGCUUCGUAUUUAUCUUGUAUUGAAAUUUAGAUUGAAUGUCAAUAUUAGUUCCUGUUGGAUAUUAAGUUGUUAUAAUAGACAGAUAAUGAAAAGGUAUUUCUAAUUAUAGAAUAUACUGCACGGAUCACAAAAUCAAUCUAAUAAAUAUAUCUAUACAAUAUGGCGGGACGAAGAAGGACGCGACACGGCUACCCAUAACAAUUACAGUGACAUUCAGAGCUUUAAAUCGCAAAGAUCUGAGUAGUACUGCCACUACACCACCACUCACAGACAUAAAGUUAGCAAAUCCCAUGUGCCAAGUUUCACU